rnacentral:rRNA from 1 species
AAGGCCGCAGUAUUUUGACUGUGCUAAGGUAGCAUAGUCAUUAGAUUUUUAAUUGAAAUCUUGUUUGAAUGGUUAAAUGAAAAAAAAUCUUUUUUAUUUUAAAUAAAUUAAAUUUUAUCUUUUAGUUAAAAAGCUAAAAUUUUUAAAGGGGACGAGAAGACCCUAUAGAAUUUUAUAAUAUUUAUUAAUUAUUUAUUAUUAUUAAUUUUAUUAAUUAUUAAUAAUUAUUUUAUUGGGGCGAUAAUUAAAUUUAUAUAACUUUUUUUUUAUAUUUCAUUUAUAAAUGUUUUAUUGAUCUUUUUAUAUUGAUUAAAAAAUUAAAUUACCUUAGGGAUAACAGCAUAAUAUUAUUAAGAAGUUNUUAUUUUUAAUAAUGUUUAUGACCUCGAUGUUGGAUUAAAUAAUAUUUUUAAGUUAAAAAUUUUUAAAAUUAGUCUGUUCGACUAUUAAUUAUUUACAUGAUCUGAGUUCAAACCGGUGUAAGCCAGGUCGGUUUCUAUCU